GCCGUUUUCUGCUGAUAUUUUCUGUAAACUAACUAAAAAAAAUCUCUGUGUCUAUCAUGAUGUGUCGCAGCCUUUCGCGAUGUGUAUAUUGCGGCAGUUGAUAUUGCGAUGACGAUU